rnacentral:tRNA from 2 species
ACGCCCGGUGCGCAGGUUACGGCUACUCCGCUGAUAACGGGGAGGUCGCGGGUUCGAAUCCCGCUCGCCGUCC